CAGAGUUGCAAAACCUCCCUAACCAUUGUUAACUACUGUAUCUCGUUUCAGGAUUGGCGGCUUCGGCCAAUCCGCGGGCCCCAUGGCGGUGGGGCCGCCGGCCGCUUCGGCAGGCGCCUGCCGCUGGCGGCACUAAACUCUUAUGUUAUUAUGGUUACUGUGAGCUAUACUUCUGAGUCAAAACAUAAGUAUCA
rnacentral:misc_RNA from 1 species